rnacentral:rRNA from 1 species
UUUUGGACAAUGGGCGCAAGCCUGAUCCAGCAAUGCCGCGUGAGUGAAGAAGGCCUUCGGGUUGUAAAGCUCUUUUGUCAGGGAAGAAACGGUGAGCUCUAAUACAGUUUGCUAAUGACGGUACCUGUAGAAUAAGCACCGGCUAACUACGUGCCAGCAGCCGCGGUAAUACGUAGGGUGCAAGCGUUAAUCGGAAUUACUGGGCGUAAAGCGUGCGCAGGCGGUUAUGUAAGUCAGAUGUGAAAUCCCCGGGCUCAACCUGGGAAUGGCAUUUGAGACUGCAUGGCUAGAGUGUGUCAGAGGGGGGUAGAAUUCCACGUGUAGCAGUGAAAUGCGUAGAGAUGUGGAGGAAUACCGAUGGCGAAGGCAGCCCCCUGGGAUAACACUGACGCUCAUGCACGAAA